UACGGCUCAGUAACACGUAGCUAACCUACCCUUAAGUCAGGGAUAACCUCGGGAAACUGAGGGUAAUACCUGAUAGGAGACAUCCCCUGGAAUGAGUUGUCUCCCAAAUUCGUGCUUAAGGAUGGGGCUGCGGUGGAUUAGGCUGUUGGCGGGGUAAAGGCCCACCAAACCGAUGAUCCAUAAGGGCUCUUAGCGGAGAGGCCCUGAGAGGGAAUCUGAGACACUAUUCCCAGCCCUACGGGGUGCAGCAGUUAGGAAUAAUUUACAAUGCGCGCAAGCGUGAUAAUUUGAGCCAGAGUGUUUUUCAAUUGAAAGACUUUUGUGAAAUGUAAAAAGUUUCACGAAUAAGGACUGGGUAAGACUGGUGCCAGCCGCCGCGGUAAUACUAGCGGUCCAAGUCGCAGCCAUUUUUAUUGGGUCUAAAACAUCCGUAGCUUGCUUGAUAAGUCUUCUGUGAAAUUUUACGUCUAAAACGUAGAGCGCGCAGAAGGUACUGUCAAGCUAGAGACCGGAAGACGUAAGAAGUACAUUCAGAGUAGCGGUUAAAUGUGUUAAUCCUGAAUGGACUAACAAGAGCGAAGGCAUCUUACGAGGACGGUUCUGACAGUAAGGGAUGAAAGCUAGGGGCGCAAAUGGGAUUAGAUACCCCAGUAGUCCUAGCAGUAAACACUGCACACUAAACAUUAGUACCUCUUCGAGAGGUAUUAGUGCUGAAGGGAAGCCGGAGAGUGUGCUACCUGGGAAGUAUAGUCGCAAGGCCGAAACUUAAAGGAAUUGGCGGA
rnacentral:rRNA from 1 species